rnacentral:rRNA from 1 species
AUUGAACGCUGGCGGCAGGCUUAACACAUGCAAGUCGAGCGAGCGGCGGACGGGUGAGUAAUGGCCGGGAAACUGCCUGAUGGAGGGGGAUAACUACUGGAAACGGUAGCUAAUACCGCAUACCAUCAGAGGUGCCCAGAUGGGAUGAGUUAGUUGGUGGGGGAAUGGCUCACUAAGGCGACGCUCCCUAGCUGGUCUGAGAGGAUGACCAGCCACACUGGAACGGAGACACUGUCCAGACUCCUACGGGAGGCAGCAGUGGGGAAUAUUGCACAAUGGGCGCAAGCCUGAUGCAGCCAUGCCGCGUGUGUGAAGAAGGCCUUCGGGUUGUAAAGCACUUUCAGCGGGGAGGCGUUACUCGCAGAAGAAGCACCGGCUAACUCCGUGCCAGCAGCCGCGGUAAUAC